rnacentral:rRNA from 1 species
UUGGGCGUAAAGCGCGCGUAGGCGGUUUCUUAAGUCUGAUGUGAAAGCCCAGGCUCAACCGUGGAGGGUCAUUGGAAACUGGGAAACUUGAGUACAGAAGAGGAAAGUGGAAUUCCAUGUGUAGCGGUGAAAUGCGCAGAGAUAUGGAGGAACACCAGUGGCGAAGGCGACUUUCUGGUCUGUAACUGACGCUGAUGUGCGAAAGCGUGGGGAUCAAACAGGAUUAGAUACCCUGGUAGUCCACGCCGUAAACGAUGAGUGCUAAGUGUUACGGGGUUUCCGCCCCUUAGUGCUGCAGCUAACGCAUUAAGCACUCCGCCUGGGGAGUACGACCGCAAGGUUGAAACUCAAAGGAAUUGACGGGGACCCCGCACAAGCGGUGGAGCAUGUGGUUUAAUUCGAAGCAACGCGAAGAACCUUACCAAAUCUGGACAUCCUUUGGAAACUCUAGAGAUAGAGCCUUCCCCUUCGGGGGACAAAGUGACAGCUGGUGCAUGGUUGUCGUCAGCUCGUGUCGUGAGAUGUUGGGUUAAGUCCCGCAACGAGCGCAACCCUUAAACUUAGUUGCCAGCAUUUAGUUGGGCACUCUAGGUUGACUGCCGGUGACAAACCGGAGGAAGGUGGGGAUGACGUCAAAUCAUCAUGCCCCUUAUGAUUUGGGCUACACACGUGCUACAAUGGACAAUACAAAGGGCAGCUAAACCGCGAGGUCAUGCAAAUCCCAUAAAGUUGUUCUCAGUUCGGAUUGUAGUCUGCAACUCGACUACAUGAAGCUGGAAUCGCUAGUAA